CAGAAAGCAGGCACAAGUCCCUCCCAGCAUGAAGCCUACAGAAGCCACUGGAUCAACCUCACCCAACUGGGGAGCAGAGACCAAAAGCAAGAGGAACUACGCCGUAGGGAAAGGAGACCUCAAACACAGCUGCUCGUGAUGAAGAAUCCACUGGAAGCUCUGGAGGACAGGUGCUUGUCGUCUAAAGUUACACAGCUCUCCUCUCAACUUACCACCCCAGGAAAGGAAUUUUCACCAGAGCGGGAGGGAGCUGAGGAAGUCUGGGCGAUCCAUGACAAACCAUCUGAAAUCAUUUUAGCAGGCAGAGGAAUGAACACCUAGCCAGACGUUACGUUGCUUUUCAGAGAGUCUGCCAUGAAUGUGAGCUGACCUGUGAUCAAGGCACUUCAGCAAGGAACUGAGUGAGUCCUCUGACCAACGAUGAGAAACUAAGGACUUCAGUCCAACAUCCUGUGAAAAGUCACAUCCUAUCAGCAACCAGUGACCAGGAAAGAAGCAAAUUGACUCAGAGCUCUUUAAGACUUUCUCCUUGACCACUGACCUGUGUGUCUCUGAGGUCCAGCAGAGACAGUGAGCUUCAGCAGCUCAACGAAAUUGGAAGGAUUAUAAAGGGCUGUAUCGGACAUGGAGCAAGGAAUCCACGGAGCAUCAAUUGGCUGCAACAUGCCAAUAAAGAGGGAUCCAGUGCUUCUCUGACUCUGCCAGCAUCUGCAGCCUCCUGUGCCCAUGAGAGGUGUGUUAGACACAUUGAACUUGGUUCAGCCUUUCUGCUCAGCUGGAAGCAAAUUGUAACAGAGAGAUACAUACUGUGAGAUGCAUGACCUUCUACAGCAAGAUGGUAAAGGUAAAAGGAGAGAAGUACUCUAGGCAGCUCAUGGCUUUCAAAGGAAUGCAAACUUUCUUUCAAAUCCAACGUAAACUUUGGUAUUUAAUUCAAAUUCACCCACUGACUCUAGUAAAAAAAAAUAUAACUGAAUUGGUAAUGGAGCAGAAAUUAAAACUCAUGACUUAUGUUUUGUGCAUUUUGCCAAGUUCACCAAAUAUCAGUGACUGUUUGGAUUGAACCAUUCUGUCCCUUCUGCUGCAAAUUCUUGCAUUUUGAUUCUAUGUAGGCAUACCAGAAAUAGAGGCAAAAAUGAAAGAAAACAAAAAUAAUCACAAAUUCAAAGGUACUAAUAUCGUCAUCAAACGGAAUUUCAAAACGUAGAAGCAAAAGAGAAAUUCCUCCUCAUUGUGUUCAUAUCUGUGCUGCUGCUGCUGCUAAGUUGCUUCAGUCGUGUCCGACUCUGUGCGACCCCAUAGACGGCAGCCCACCAGGC